GAUGAAGAACGCAGCGAAAUGCGAUAAGUAAUGUGAAUUGCAGAAUUCAGUGAAUCAUCGAAUCUUUGAACGCACAUUGCGCCCGCCAGCAUUCUGGCGGGCAUGCCUGUUCGAGCGUCAUUUCAACCCUCGAGCCCCCCCGGGGGCCUCGGUGUUGGGGGACGGCACACCAGCCGCCCCCGAAAUGCAGUGGCGACCCCGCCGCAGCCUCCCCUGCGUAGUAGCACACACCUCGCUCCGGAGCGCGGAGGCGGUCACGCCGUAAAACGCCCAACUUUCUUAGAGUUGACCUCGGAUCAGGUAGGAAUACCCGCUGAACUUAAGCAUAUCAAUAAGCGGAGGA
rnacentral:misc_RNA from 1 species